rnacentral:sRNA from 1 species
CCUUGAGCAUGGACAGCCUGGAUCUGCUGGGUGAAGGGAGAAGUUAUGUCCAGGGUGGGACAGAGAGGAUGGCGAGAGAUUUCCUCACUGCUCAGAACAGUGGGAAAUUCAAAACUUAGGGAUUAUUUCUGAAAUUUUCCAUUUAAAAAUUUCCAUUUAUAAUUGACCAAGGGUAACUGAAACCAGAGAAAGCAAGACUGAGGAUAAGGGAGGGGCCUCCUGUACUCCAAGAGCACUGAAUCCGGAAAAACUCAACACAUUGAUGGAGUCAUAUAUUUAAUUUUUUCUUAAAAGCCACCUGCGGGAUAUUGUAGAAACACUGCGCUGCCAAUCACAGCUUGUGAUGUGACACAUUCAUUCUGCAAGUUUAAACUUCCCCUAGCAAAUCUUUAUGAGCACCUACUAUGCAUCAGGCUGUUGUCGUGAAUAAAACAAGAUCCAUAUCCCGAGGGAGUGUGCCUUCCAGGAGAGAAAGACGGCAAUGUGUAAGGAGCGUUAGAAGAAGAUGUUGUCUUUUGGGUGUAGAAAGUGGUAUGUAAAAGUGAAAAAUAAAAAGAAAUAGAGCAGAAUCAGGGG